rnacentral:rRNA from 1 species
CAGCCGUAAACUAUGCGCGUUAGGUGUAUCGGUGACCACGAGUCACCGAGGUGCCGAAGGGAAACCGUGAAACGUGCCGCCUGGGAAGUACGGUCGCAAGGCUGAAACUUAAAGGAAUUGGCGGGGGAGGCACCACAACGGGUGGAGCCUGCGGGUUUAAUUUGGACUCAACGCCGGGAAGCUCACCGGAUAAGACAGCGGAAUGAUUGCCGGGCUGAAGACUCUGCAUGACUAGCUGAGAGGAGGUGCAUGGCGUAGACGUCU